UAGGAAGGGGGCGAGCGUUGUUCGGAUUUACUGGGCGUAAAGGGCGCGCAGGCGGCUAUUCAAGUCAGGCGUGAAAGCCCCGGGCUUAACCUGGGAACUGCGUCUGGGACUGGGUGGCUAGAGAUCGGGAGAGGGAUGCGGAAUUCCGGGUGUAGCGGUGAAAUGCGUAGAUAUCUGGAGGAACACCGGUGGCGAAGGCGGCAUCCUGGACCAAUACUGACACUGAGGAGCGAAAGCCAGGGGAGCAAACGGG
rnacentral:rRNA from 1 species